rnacentral:miRNA from 1 species
AAAAAAAAAGAAUAAGGACUCUCAGAGAAUGCAGGGUGAGUGACAAGUUUCUUUACACUUUUACUUGUGCACAUUAAGAUACAUGUUUUAUGUGUAAGAUAAAAGUGUAAAGAAACUUGUCACUCACCCUGCAUUCUCUGAGAGUCCUUAUUCUUUUUUUUUU